rnacentral:tRNA from 2 species
GAACUGCUAAUUCUUACCCCUGAAGUUAAAUUCCUCAGACCCCUCACUUUUAAAGGAUAAAAGACAAUC